rnacentral:rRNA from 1 species
UUCAGCUUACACCUGAAAAAUGUCUGCUAACACCAGAUCGUCUUGAUGCCAAACUCUAGCCCAAUCGACAUGACCUGGAAUAACAAAGCUACUUCCCCCACCCAACUAAAGCAUUCACCAGUCCUAGUAUAGGCGAUAGAAAAGACACCAUUGGCGCGAUAGAGAUCACGUACCGUAAGGGAAAGAUGAAAUAGCAAUGAAAACUAAGCUAUAAACAGCAAAGAUCAGCCCUUGUACCUUUUGCAUCAUGGUCUAGCAAGAAAAACCAAGCAAAAUGAAUUURAGKUUGCCACCCCGAAACCCAAGCGAGCUACUUACGAGCAGCUAUCAUUGAGCGAACCCGUCUCUGUGGCAAAAGAGUGGGAUGACUCGUYAGUAGAGGUGAAAAGCCAAUCGAGCUGGGUGAUAGCUGGUUGCCUGUGAAACGAAUCUAAGUUCACUCUUAAUUCUUCUCCAAGGAA